CUCACCCACCGCCAUUUUUUUUAAUUCGUGAGGGGGGUGCAGACGCCGGAAAAUUUAUUUUUGUUGCUCAAUUAACGACGAGGACGACGAGGAGGAGGACGACCCGCUAGGAGUGUGAGGUCGCCACUUUUGAGAGAAAGCGUGAGCCAAUCGGAGGCAAGUUCAGGGGGCAAGGGUCGCGAAAUUUCAGAAUUUGUCGAUGGCCGCCUCGAAGGCCUCCACUUAGGCUGCGACUUUAACCAUUUAACUUUACCACUUUAAACAUUAAACUACAAAUAAACAACGACUAUACAACAGCUAUACAACGACGACUAAACAACAGCACAACAACAACAACAACUUCUCCGGCGAUGUCUACGAUGGACGAAGUGAACUCGCGCGCCUCAGCUGCCCAAGCGCCGGCAGCCCCCCCCUCGCGGCCGCGGCUCGUGACGCCGGUGCGCCGCUCGGCGCGGAUCCACGCGGCGGGGGGGGCGGUGGGGGGGGGGGCGACCCCCCCGGGGAGGGCCCUGAGGGACGGCGACACGGUGGGAGGCAUUGCGGAGCUGCUGCUGGCAGCGGCCUACGCGGAGGAGGAGGAGGCGGACGAGGGGGUGGUGCAGGAGGGCGCUG